rnacentral:lncRNA from 1 species
AACAACUUUUUCUUUAGUCGCUUGUCGGCCAAAGACAUUGGAGCAUUGCUUGCUGCUGCUGCUGCUUCAAAAAGUCAGCUGCAUGAUGGGGAAAAUAUCAUCAAAGAUGGAGGAGCCAGAACAUCAUCACAUCUCUCACUCAAACCUUCCAACAUGGAGAGAAAAAAGUAGUGGUACGCUUCUUCUACUCAGAGGAAUAUUCUGAACAAAAAAAAAAGAGUCAAUAUUCAAGAGGAUCCAGACUGAGUUAAAACAACGUUUUCCUACUAUAACAUCAACGAAGAGUCUAUACUAGUAAUAAUCAAAAUUCAGUGCACCAGCUCCCUUCAUCAAUCAUUCAGCUAGCGUAUCCCUUUCUAAGCAAUGAACAUCAACAUUCAACGGAAGAAAAACUCAUUACGUCUUCUCUACUUCAUUGAUUUAUAAAUGAAUGUGUGUGAGGAGAGGACAGUAAAGCAAACCACUUAGUACACGAAAUCUAUCCAUGUCUUUCACUUUAACGUAUUUACAUGUAAUUUUGAAUUCAUAUUAAGAUAAUAUUAAUGGAGUAAAUAUACAAAAUUAUUCAAAAAAUCC